GGGAGAGCAUUUGCCGCAAGUCAGGUGGAGGCAGCUGGAGUCGUGAGGACAGAGGGAGACAAGACUGAAGGACAACGCUCGGGCUCCACCAGGUUGUGACUUGUUAUGCCUCAAGACAAAAUGGAUUUCAAGCAAAUAUGGCCACAUGUUAAGGCUUCACAAGGCUGGGAAGUGGGAGCGUUGGAGCGUUAUAUUAUUUUCUAUAAUUUUCUGGAUGCUUGAAAUAUUUUACAAAUUGUAAGCACACAGCUUAGACAACGGGAGGGAAGAACCGUGUGUCGGCACCUAGACUUGUGAACGGUGGCUCUCCUGCAUCCUCCUCCCCGUUCCAAGAGGAGGCACGAGAGGCCAGUGAUGAUGUGACACUAAAAGUCCCCCGGCCCCUCUCAGGUCUCCGUUUUCCUUCCCCUUCCUUCAGUUUCAAAGAGGCAUUUUCAUCUCCUGGCUGAGCGGGGAAUGAGUGCAGGAACCAUGCAUCCCAGCUGAGACACUGGCAGCCGGACACUCAACCCAAAGGUGGUCAGAACCUUUCCCCGGGAAAUUCAGACCUGGAUGGCAGGAGACCUAGACAGCAGGCAAGGGGACAGAGAGGGAGCAGGCGCCAGCAUGCCGACUGUGCUGGGGUCACGUUCAGUGUGGCCAGAUGUCAUGGAAGGUCGGAGGCUUCUGCUCCUGGGGUCUGGGGCUGCCCUGACCCCUGCCCUUCAUCCCUCCUGGGGAUCCAGGAGAGCCCCUCCUUGCAAGGGCCUCCUCUCCCCUCACUUUCCACGCUGCGCUGGUGCCACAGGGAGUCUGUUUCUUGCAAGUCAAGGCCCCCGGCCAAGUCUGACAUUGACAAUAAGCAGGACUAGUGGAGGCAGUGCCGUGUCGCCUUUCCCAGCUCGGGCCUGGCCCAUGUUGGGAGGGCUGCAAGGGAACACUCCUGGGAAGGAUGGCGCUGGCUCUCAUGAGAGGUCCGUGCAACCCAAGUGGAGUGGGGAGAACGUGGGGAGAUAAGAAAUGAGGAAGGCCAGCCCCUCUGCUCAUACUUAUAACCCCAACACUUUGGGAGGCUGGGAUUACAGGUGGAGCCCUUGAGCCUAGGAGUUCAAGACCCACCUGGGCAAGUGAAACCUCAUCCUUACAAUAAAAAAUUCAAAAGAGAAACACAGGAGGAGAAGGGCUGGCGUCUGAGUGCUCCUGAAGAAGGAAGGAUUCAUCCCUGGGGAGGAGGAACCAGGGCCUCUGUGAAUCUCAGGGGAAGGAAGACGGGGCC